UAGGAAUACCCGCUGAACUUAAGCAUAUCAAUAAGCGGAGGAA
rnacentral:rRNA from 1 species